rnacentral:rRNA from 1 species
AAUGAACGCUGGCGGCAGGCCUAACACAUGCAAGUCGAACGGGUCCUUCGGGACAAGUGGCGGACGGGUGAGUAACGCGUGGGAACGUGCCCCUUGGUACGGAAUAGCCCCGGGAAACUGGGAGUAAUACCGUAUGUGGUCGAGAGACGAAAGAUUUAUCGCCAAGGGGUCGGCCCGCGUUGGAUUAGGUAGUUGGUGGGGUAAUGGCCUACCAAGCCGACGAUCCAUAGCUGGUUUGAGAGGAUGAUCAGCCACACUGGGACUGAGACACGGCCCAGACUCCUACGGGAGGCAGCAGUGGGGAAUCUUAGACAAUGGGGGAAACCCCGAUCUAGCCAUGCCGCGUGAUCGAUGAAGGCCUUAGGGUUGUAAAGAUCUUUCAGGUGGGAAGAUAAUGACUGUACCACCAGAAGAAGCCCCGGCUAACUCCGUGCCAGCCGCCGCCGUAACAC